rfam:Gossypium raimondii Chr05_contig_116, whole genome shotgun sequence.
UGAUAAAAAAAAGUUACUUAUUUUUAUUGUUAAAAAUUGGGGUGGUUGACGAAAUAAUCAAACACUUACAUAUGGCGUGCCACUUCCAUUUCAUGCUGACGUACAUGGGUUAGUUUUUAACGGCAGAAAUCAAUAAAAUAUUUAACA